UACGUAGGGUGCAAGCGUUUGUCCGGAAUUAUUGGGCGUAAAGAGCUCGUAGGCGGUUUGUUGCGUCGGCUGUGAAAUCCCGAGGCUCAACCUCGGGUCUGCAGUCGAUACGAGCAAACUAGAGUGUUGCAGGGGAGACUGGAAUUCCUGGUGUAGCGGUGAAAUGCGCAGAUAUCAGGAGGAACACCGGUGGCGAAGGCGGGUCUCUGGGGCAACAACUGACGCUGGAGGAGCGAAAGCCGUGGGGAGCGAACAGGA
rnacentral:rRNA from 1 species